CGCGUAGGUGGUUUGUUAAGUUGGAUGUGAAGUCCCCGAGCUCAACUUGGGAACUGCGUUUGAAACUAUCAAGCUAGAAUAUGUCAGAGGGGGGUAGAAUUCCACGUGUAGCAGUGAAAUGCGUAGAGAUGUGGAGGAAUACCAAUGGCGAAGGCAGCCCCCUGGGAUAAUAUUGACGCUCAUGCACGAAAGCGUGGGGAGCAAACAGGAUUAGAUACCCUCGUA
rnacentral:rRNA from 1 species